CACAGACUCUGGCAGGAUCGUCACCAGGGGAGACUUACAGAUUUUUUUCUCCUGGAGUUAAGGACUUCUUCCACUCUACAGUAUCUGAAUUGUUGGCAGAUAUGCUGCCUUCAAAUAAGCAUAAAUGGUUUCUUCCUGUCCCUGAUGCUGUCUCUGAGAUAUUUUCUAAAGAAUGGGCUAAACCAGAGGUCACAGAUGAAGGUGUGAGAUGAAACGUGUCUGACCCUCUCUCUACAUCUAGUUUUUUCUUUUAUAUUUUUGUUUUCUUUCAGUUCCAUGAUUAAUAAAUGUUUUAACUUUGCUCUUA